rnacentral:tRNA from 1 species
GCUCAGUUAGUUAAGCGUCUGAUUUCAGCUCAGGUCAUGAUCUCAUGGCUCGUGGGUUCGAGCCCCGCAUUGAGCU